rnacentral:rRNA from 1 species
UGGGGAAUAUUGGACAAUGGGCGAAAGCCUGAUCCAGCCAUGCCGCGUGUGUGAAGAAGGUCUUCGGAUUGUAAAGCACUUUAAGUUUGGAGGAAGGGCAGUAAGCGAAUACCUUGCUGUUUUGACGUUACCGACAGAAUAAGCACCGGCUAACUCUGUGCCAGCAGCCGCGGUAAUACAGAGGGUGCAAGCGUUAAUCGGAAUUACUGGGCGUAAAGCGCGCGUAGGUGGUUCGUUAAGUUGAAUGUGAAAGCCCCGGGCUCAACCUGGGAACUGCAUCCAAAACUGGCGAGCUAGAGUAGGGCAGAGGGUGGUGGAAUUUCCUGUGUAGCGGUGAAAUGCGUAGAUAUAGGAAGGAACACCAGUGGCGAAGGCGACCACCUGGGCUCAUACUGACACUGAGGUGCGAAAGCGUGGGGAGCAAACAGG